rnacentral:tRNA from 1 species
GGAGUUGUGGCUCAGUGGCAGAGCACUCACCUAGCAUGUGUGAGGCCCUGGGUUCAAUCCUCAGCACCA